UACGGGAGGCAGCAGUGGGGAAUAUUGCACAAUGGGCGCAAGCCUGAUGCAGCCAUGCCGCGUGUAUGAAGAAGGCCUUCGGGUUGUAAAGUACUUUCAGUCGUGAGGAAGGUGUUAAGGUUAAUAACCUUAGCAAUUGACGUUAGCGACAGAAGAAGCACCGGCUAACUCCGUGCCAGCAGCCGCGGUAAUACGGAGGGUGCGAGCGUUAAUCGGAAUUUACUGGGCGUAAAGGGCACGCAGGCGGUUAAUUAAGUUGGAUGUGAAAUCCCCGGGCUUAACCUGGGAAUGGCAUUCAAGACUGGUUAGCUAGAGUCUUGUAGAGGGGGUAGAAUUCCAUGUGUAGCGGUGAAAUGCGUAGAGAUGUGGAGGAAUACCGGUGGCGAAGGCGGCCCCUGGACAAGACUGACGCUCAUGUGCGAAAGCGUGGGGAGCAAACAGGAUUAGAUACC
rnacentral:rRNA from 1 species